rnacentral:misc_RNA from 1 species
AGGCGUUCAACCAGACUUGGUUGAACCAACAACUACCAUAAUUUCACAACUACUCUAGCAAUCGAUUUGUGAAAGUAAGGAAUUUCUCCUCGAUUAGUUUUACAUAAAGAUAAACACAAGGGAAAGCUACAAGGCAAGAGUUGUACACCAUCAAAUGUGGAGAAAAUACCAAGCACACUCUUUGAAAUACAAGUUUUAUGAUUUUCUAGCAGUACAUAGGCUCUGCACCUUUCAGUGUUUUCCCAGAAUCUGUAUCAGACUUAAUCAAGAAUCGUUUGUACCAAUUCCUGAUAAGAAUAACCUUUGAUCCUGUGGAUGCUUGCACAUGUUACUACACAAGUAUCUCAUCAAGCAUGUCUGAAUGUUAGUUUGUCUGCAUGGCUUCUGCAUGAUACUUCUCCAAUUCAGCAUCAAGAUCUUCUGCAGAAACGUUCUGACCACGGCCUCUGCCCCUUCCACCAUCCUUUCUCAUGCUCCCUCUACCACCACCACCUCGAGGACGGCUAAAUCCACCACCUCUUUGUUGACUUCUUGUAGCAGGAUUUGGAUUUCCAUAUAAACGAUUUCGAAUGGGAGGAAGAGCUGGAGGAGCAAUAUUUGUUCCAGCAAGCUCAAUUUUCAUGGGCUUCCCAUCCAGCUGAACAUUGUUAUAUCUCUUAAUGGCUGCCUCUGCAUCCCUUCGCCGUGAAAAGAUUACUUCUGCAGUUCCCUUUGAUCUUCCACUCUUGUCAUAAUGAAUUGAGUAACGCUUUAUAUCACCAGCUUCUAAGAAAAGCUCCUUGAUAUCUUCAUUUGAAACCGCAUAAUCCAAAUUGGAAAUGAGGAGCUUGAUCCCGGUCCCAAUACCGGACACCCCAGGUCUUCGGACAGACGACGGGUUAUGAUCCGCAAACAUAUCAUGGUCCCAAGUAGACUCCGGUGCAUGGACGGAAUAUGGCGCCGGCCUGUUGGUGGCACGGUUAGGGAAGCGACGCCUUGGACCUGGACCAGAGCCGAAUCCGGUUGUUCUGGGUCUAGGGUUCCGACUACUGGAACUUUUGUUCCUUUUGAUCAAAUCAUCGAGAGAUACAUCAAGAUUUGACAUAAUUUGUACAACAAAUGGUAUGAAAAUUGAGAUCUGGAUGAGGGUUAUGAAAUUUGGGGAAAAAGGGUUUUAGCCCAGAACCGAA